UUAAAAGUUAAAUAUAGUGGACAAAAACUAGAAGGUCCAACUAGAUCCAUUGCAGUGGAACAUCUCACGGUAAUUGCGGCAGCACCACGCCCCACAGCGAUCAAACAAUGGUUUAAUCUUUGGUAAACGGCGGUUAUGGCCGUCCGUGGAUUUCAGAUUAUGCUCUCAAGUCUCAACCUCUACGGAGUCUGGUUAAAUUGGGCAGUCAAAACAAAACAAAGUUCCCUACAGUGUCAGACACUGUGAAGGAGGCGUGGCUACAUUUAAAGAUUGAUCUCAUCAGGGCACCUGCCUUGACGCACCCUGACUACUCAAGACCGGUUCAACUGUAAGUUGCUUUAGCACGCAACGCAAACUGUCAGAGGCAUAACUCCCUGCUUCAGGGGUUAGCAGCCGCAGCGUACGCUUACGAGAAGGCCUCAACGAUUUCCAUGGGUCAUGCUUUGACGUUGUACACCGGCCAUGGUCUUCACGCCUUGCUCAUGGCACCACAUUUUGUAAUCACGACUGCGCGACGCUUAAAUGAUGACGUCAUACUUUCCGUUACUGAGAUAACGAUUGCACGCUGUUGCACGGUUAAGCCGGCAGAGCAUCUUACUCUUCUUAUCAAGGUAGUCCUCACGAUUGCGUGGCAAUAUCCAACGACCUACUCAGGGCGUGUGAUGAUCUGGAGGCGGGGCCAUUACCGGCACCCCAGAUCUCUAUGGUUGUUGAUGGUUCGGGUUACAGGUCAAGUUCGGGUCCUGUGGCAGGUUUUGCUGUGGUUGCUCCCACGCCGGAGUCAACGGAGUCAACCUCGUACCGGACCCUCUUGGCUGAACCGUUGUUCUCUCCUUUGUCUGCACAGGCAGGUAUUGUUGGAAAAGUGUGUCUUUUAGGUUCCGGCGGAGGAUAUAGAGACUUUCUGCUGUCCUGAUGUCAGUGAGGAGCUCGGUCCACCACUGAGAAGCCGGAACAGCAAACAGUCAUGAUUUUGUCAGGUGAGUAAUUUGUUGUAUCUUUUGACAACACGAUAAUGAAUAAAUAUGUCUGUCAUUGAGGGUCAAGCAGAGGUUAGAUUGGGGGUGUCAUGCCCAGUCCCAGGGACUGGUAGAGAGAGAGAGAGAGAGAGCUAGUGGUACACUGAAAGCAAAGCUAUCCAGAAUCUAGAAUGGACUGGCUGACGGCUCUGUCGUUGGCAUUAAUGAGCAUGAGAAUACAAACUAGCCGUAGUACACAGUUAACUCCCCAUGAGAGGCUGACCGGACGGCCUCGGCCCGUACCGUACCAGGGAGACCUGAUAAAGGUCCCCCAUGGAAGGUGUUAGCCAAAGAAAUACGAAGCUAUGUCCAGGGAGCGGCAGGUAGGCAGGAAGCACUGUGUCAACAGGUGGAAGGAGCCACGGAGGAGAGGCAUGUGGGACCAGACCCACAGGAGGAGGAGGUCCAUCCGAGGAAGGGGGACGAGCCACGGCAGACUGGACCCCACCUGGUGGUACUGGCCACGCCCACCGCAGUGAAGAGAAACCACACUGGAACCACCUCACACACUGCACCGAGGCAGAAGCACCUGAAGGAAGGCCAGAGGAGAGGAGACCAUCACGGCAAAGCCCCGCCGGCCACAGAGGCGAGGAGAAGCAAGGCGUGGCCAAUCCACACCAGAACACCAGCAGACGGCUGAGGGAGCUGGAGAGGGGGAUGACCUUCACACUCACAGAAAGGAGAGAACAAUAUGGAGAGCCCAGCUGAAAGAACAAUGCCCGUCUCAUGGAACCCCAAGAAGAAGACGUGGUCCCUAGCAAUAGGAGGUAACAGCCAUUAUCGGACUAAAGGUCAGAUUGACCUGCGAUGAUGUCGGUUCAUCAGGGUGGCUCUAGGGAACCCUGCGAUUGUGAUAAAUGUGUUUUAUAACCUAAUAUUGUUGGGGCUUGCAUUUCUUAUCAGGUCUAAUCACCUGAGAAAAACAGCAUAUUCUGCCAUUGACUAGUCGAGUUGCCUUAAGUGACAUUAGUAGAGUGUAACCCUUAUAAAAGGACAUUCCUGUUUACUUAUGUGAUGUGAUAAUAAUGGAUAACAAGAUAUAAGCAAUAACGCCCCAAAGGACCCGACCCCAAAGAAGACCUGCAGCAGCUCAUGCAUUCAUCCACCAGGUGCUGGUAACCUGAUGCAUGAGCGCUUCCUGCUGGACGCAAAGUACAUGAACCAGAAGAGUCACAGGAGCAACAACGUUUUAUGUUUUGUGGAAGACUUGGGUCUCCCAAGGGGGGAAUGUGGUGGGUAAAAUGUUUCAAAUUGGGUGUUUCCACAACAUAUAUACAUCGGGUGUAUUAAACUUUUACAUUAUGUUAUAUUAGGCUUAAAUGACAUCUACAAAGAUGAUUGAGAGGGCACACACAGCUCUCUCCCUCAGACAAGGGUCAACAACGCCAGACAGAGAUAGACCCAGCGGCCUUGUGCUGCUCCAGUCUGAACCGGUGGAGAGGAGGCUGCAGAGAGGACCAGGAGGCUCAGACACAAUAACGAUAAGAGAAGAGACGAGGGGGGAGACGUCAGCAAGAAACCUCACAUUCCUUAAAGUAACCGGCUUGGACUGGGACAGAGGUCACACUGAGGUCACUCUGAGUGACGAGAACUAAUAUGUAAUGAGGGAGUGGACGGAGGCGGCACCCGCAUUGAGUGUGAUGUAUAAACAAUAUGUCAAUGUGUUUGUUCGGGGCUUGUGAAAGACAGAUGUGGAGGGAGGUCGUUGUCUUUAAUACCCAGACCAGGUUUAUUUGUGAAACUGUUGGUUUCAAAUAAAUCUACGUGAAUUGAACUCUGAUCCAAACUCUCUGUGUCCUGUGGGUGUUUGAUUCCUGAGGUCCAGAGGGUGAGUAUCCUGUGGCGUCUCACCAGCAGUCAGAGAGGAGAGAGAUACACGUUUAUAUGCAUCAGGUUAAGAGAUUAGUUAGAAUGGACCAAAAAGGAAGAAAUCCAGCCACAACAGAAACCAAUAUUGUCUUGAGCUAUAUGAAUCAAUGCGUUUUGCAGCCGAGUGUGAAGCGGCGGGGAUGAGAGUCAGCGCCUCCAAAUCUGAGGCCAUGGUAGAUUAUUUACUGUUUUAACUGCUUAUUAUUUAUUAAUAAAGUCUUUGUUUUACUAUGUCUUGAUUGUGCACUUUACCCCUUUGCUCUAAUCCUGUUUAUGUCCUGCAAUAAAAGAUGAUCUCAU